rnacentral:RNase_P_RNA from 1 species
UGAGUUGCCGGGGCGGCCGCUCUUUCCAACGAGCCCGGGGGCAACUUCGGGGGAGGAGGAGGGGGAGGAAAGUCCGGACUCCACGGGUCAGGGUGGUUGCUAACGGCAACCGGCCGCGAGGCUAGGGAAAGUGCCACAGAAAACAAACCGCCAACCCCGGGUUUCGGCCCGGGCGGCAAGGGUGAAACGGUGCGGUAAGAGCGCACCGCGGUCCUGGUGACAGGGCUGGCAGGGUAAACCCCACCCGGAGAAAGACCAAAUAGGGAAGGCGCAUGACGAUGACCCGCGUCCAUGCCUUCCGGGUAGGUCGUUCGAGGCCGGAGGCGACUCCGGUCCCAGAGAAAUGGUCGCCGCCCACCGGCCUCAAAUCCGGCGGGUACAGAAUCCGGCUUACAAGGCAACUCACGUC